UUGACAAUUGGACCGUGAAGGCAUACUUUCAGGAGUGAGGGUAGAGCGGGGUUUCCCCCGCCCUGGUAGUCUUAGUAUGCUGGGUAGCUAAUGACUAAGAGCACCACGAUGAUGAGUAUCUUCAUCAUGACCCUUUCCUUAUU
rnacentral:sRNA from 6 species